rnacentral:lncRNA from 1 species
UUAGCUAUUCUUACCACAUUGCAGUGUCACUUUUUAUUUCACUCAUAUGAAAGAGAUGCUUUAAGAAACAUUUUGAAACCACAAGAAUGAAAUAUCUAUUAUCUUUGGUAUUGGUUCUGUUUAUCCUCGAGGUAGACCUUUGUGUGAUGCUGUGUGCUGACAGAGAACUCUGGCAAGCGCAUCUUCCAUCUUCAGGUGUGUGCAUGCAGGAGCUAGAGGUGGAAGCUUUGCUGAAGGCUCGUGAAGAAUUGGAGCAUUAUGUUGGUGAGUGUGGUGGUUCAGUGUAGGAAGACAGUGCAGAUAAAAGAACUACCUUCGUUUUUAGAAAUCAGAGUGUGAGGUCUUUUUAACCUGUUUAAUUAAAGAGUUUAUCUUAUUGAUCUAUAAAUUUCAGGGCUGGGACUAUGUAAACGUGUAACCAGCGCAUGGUAAAACCUUGCCUACGGUUCAUGCUCCACGAGAUGGAGCCAGAACUGCCUUUAACACGCCAGCACCAGCCCUGGGGAAAGCCGCAGCCGGGCUCUGCCCGCGGCGCUGCCCUUGCCUUGCGCUUCACCCGCGGAGCUGCUGCUCGCCCUGCCCCUCACACCAGGGCAGCCCGGCUCGCACGGAACGAGGGACACGCUCUGAUCCACCCCACACCAUCGCCUCCUCUCCUCCUUCUCCUCCUCUCCUCCUUCUCCUCCUCCUCAUCCUCCUCCUUCCUCUGCGCUCCCGUGCUGAGGAAUCGCCGGCAGCGCAAAGAAACCCUGCAAAGACACCAGCGCCUCGCUGCUGGCAGGCCUGGGCAAAGGAUGCUGUCCCCUGUCUGCAUCUGCAGUUUGUUGUUCGGCUUAGCUGAGGCAAUAAUACAUGAGAAAAACUGGGGGGUGAAACUGGAAGUAAAAUAUGCAACACCUGGCAGUGAAACAGAAAGUAAGAAUACUUUUUGGGUCACUGAGUUGCGUGUGGAAAGAUAUACUUCCUACUGAUUUUAACAAAACAACAAAGCCUCUAAUUGGAAUCCUUCUAGGAAUACAUGUGCUACAUGGAAAAAACCCAGACCCAUAAAAUCACAUAGUGGGUGAUAAUGGAUUUCAAAACAACUUGGAGUUUUGAAAUUGACUGCAAUGAAAAUUAACUGAUCUGAAGUAAGAGUCAGUGAUACCAAAAAAUACUACUGCUAAAAAAACAUCCUUUGGCAAGUAGGUGUCCCUUAAGGAGGUCAGCUGGAACUGCUGGUCGAACACAUGAAGCUUAGACUGAAUCCCAUGCUAGAAAUGUGGAGCUAACUGAGCAAGGCUGUACACUGAGGGGUGUCUGUGAAGAUGCCUUUCCAGGAAGGUUUCUGAGUCAACAAGUGUCCAAAAUUUGAGACAGGUCUGCAAGCAGGAAAGCCUGAAUGAAACAUUUUGGAAAACUUUUAAAUGACCAAAAUAUAAAAAUGCUGUUGUUUUAAAGUCAACAAUUUCAAGCAAUAACAGUCUAAUUUUUGCAAGGAGAGCAAUUAUUUAUUGCAUCACUGGAUUUUACAAAUCAAAAAACCCUAUUCUUCAGGAUUUGACAGUCAUGUAUGUGAAAGAGAGCCAAAACCCCUCAGUUACAGAAUCACAGGAUGGGUCAGGUUGGAAGGGACCACAGUGGGUCAUCUGGUCCAGUCUCCCUGCUCAAGCAGGGUCAACCCAGAGUACAUGGCACAGGAUUGUGUUCAGCUGUUUUUUUUAAUAUCUCCAGUGAGAGAGACUCCACAACCUCUCUAGGUAAUGUGUUCCAGUGCUCGGUCACCCACACAGUAAAGAAGUUCUUCCUCACAUUCAGGUGGAAUUUCCUGUGCAUCAGUUUCUGCCCAUUGCCUCUUGUCCUGUUGCUUGGCACCACUGAGAAGAGCUUGGAUCCAUGCUCUUGCCACCCCUCCCUUCAGUCACUUACAGACAUGGAGGAGUCCCCUCACACAGCUGCUUUGCCACUGCAUCCACUGUGAAUGUCCAGUCAGACUUGUUGGCCUGAGCCUGGUCUGAUGGACGCGACUGCCAGGGCUGAGGGCCAUUAAUAGCUAAUUAAAAGCGUUAAUUAAAAAUUUUGUCUUAAGGCAGAGGAUGUGUUCUGAAUUGUAGAGUAUGGUUUUCAUUUAUUUGUAGAGGGAUGUGAAUGUGUGUAGAUGUAAAAACACCUGCUGCAUCACACUAGGGUGGAGUUGUUAUUGUGUCUUCCUUGUGCUGUGGUGGGAGAAGGGUGAAGCACUAGGCAGUAGCUUCUUUGUUUGGCUCCUAAAAACGUCACUUGACAUACGUAAAACUGACCUAAUCAUAACCAGAAACUGAAUUUGGUGUCUUUUGCCAAGAUAAAAAAGCUUUUUUUGUUUGUAUGCUUCUCAUGAUGUAUGUUACUGCUGAUAUCUCCACCACUUUGCCCUUUGGUCCGCUAGAAGCAGCAAAAUACUGAAACAUGAUAACUGAGAGGAUUAUGCAAACAAAGGGAAUAUUUACAUGUAGAGAAUAAUAUUGACAUUUGGAUCUGCCUUACAGUGUUCCCUCAAAUUACACUGAGCAAGAAUAUAUUCGGGCUUCUUUGUUAGAUUUGCAUGCUGUAUUAAUUAUGACUGAUUCUUAAAAAUAUGAGGUGCAUUACUAGUAAGCUCAGACACCGAGUAAUGUGUGGCUAAAAUUUGUAGUCAACUUAUGGUUGACAGCUAAUGCAAACAGCUGGAUGACUGUAGAGAACCAAAAUGCAUUGAAAGUGUCUCAUGCCCAGCAAUUGAAAGUGCACUCAGAUUUUUCUUCAGCCAUCUUAUUUCAUUGAAAACAUCCCUUAAGCGUAAUUUAAUCUCUUUUAAAUGUUAGCAAUCCUAUGACAAAUGAGUUGCAUGGUAAGAAAUAUCUGUGAGAAGCAUCUUAGCAAAUGCCUUUAUUGUUAGGUAAAAAUAACAUUUUGUCUGACAAGGAAAGAAAUAUUUGCAAGAUAUGGGUGGGUUGUGGUUUUUUUUUUGGUUUUUUCUUUUUUUUUUUUUAAGAUUACUGUUAUAUAAAUAUUACAAAAUCGUAACGCAAACACUUUCAAUGAGAAAUAGCUUUCUCUAAUUUGUUCUUUUUUCUUUUUUUUUUAGUUCAUUUAAAAAAGGGAAAAAACCCAUAGGGAGUCAAGGGUUAGCAAAUAUACUGGUACACUUACUGACUUUUUUUUUUUUUUUUUUAAGUGACAAAGGCAAAAGAGGCUGUACUGACCUUUAUGAAAGAAGAGAUCCAUGGGGAAAGGUUUCUUUCUGAUGGACAGGAAGCUAUCCAAUUCAACCAUUAAAGAGAGCAAAGGAGGAUGUUUAGCACAUCGGUUAUCCCAAGGAGUCAAAAGCAACCUCAGGCUGUUAUUCUCUAAGGCUAAAAGUGUGCUUACACAGAAUAUCUCAUUUACAGAAACUAUAAAACACUUCAAUGCACUCAGUUUAAUCAAAUAAGCUAGCUACCUGUUUUUGUUUCAAGGUAAUAUUUUUGAAAUAUUUAAUGUUUUGCUUUCAGUAUUUAUUUUUCUCACUAUGCACAUAAUCCCAAAUUUCACAUUCUGAUUACUAUACUAUAUAACUCUCCAUGACUUCUCUAUAGUACAAGGCUCUCUGUUAAUCAGUUUCUUAUGCAAAAUGCAUAAGUUCCCAAUGCAUACCUGGAUAUAAAAAAUAGUUAUAGAUAAUCAAUAUUUACUAAAGCAAAUAGUAAAAAUUAGAAGUCUCUAAGAAGUAUAGGUCUAAUGAUAGUACAGAAAAUACUACUAAAGCUCAUUAUGUAAACACAAAUGAUUGUACUCUAGGAUAGAUAGAUGGUUAACCUGUGAAAUUAAGGAACCUAAGACUCAGCAUGCUACCCAUUCCUUUAGAGAAGAAGAAAGUACAUAUUAUUUAAAAAAAAAAUAAUCCUGACUUUAGUGAGCAGAGGCGACAUCCAGAGUAGUAGGUACCUGUUAGCAGCUUGUCUCUAUUUUGUAAUAGAGCCUUGCAAUAGGUUGAAUGGCUACACAUGUUCUCUUUUGUUUGUUAAGACUUCUCUUAAAAAGGCAGCCAAAACCGUUGUCAAAAAAGUUUUUAUUAAAAAAAGUAUUGUAGCUUCAUUUGGGCAGUGCUCUCAUUUAGUGGAAUUCUAAUGCAGCUCACUGCACUGGAACAGGACAAACUAAUAAUGAUCAUGGUUAUAACAAAUGGGACUUCAAUAUGUGCUGGUGGUAUUGAUAAAACUGGAAGCUUUCCAGAAUUAUUUCAGUUUAUCUUCAUGGCAUGAAAACUAAAUAGAGGUAAUAACACUGAAUACUAGUCAACUGAACAUUUUAAAUGAACAAUUAGAUAAUCUUUAAAUUUAAAAAAAUCUCCAUGGAAUAUAAAAAGAGUAAGGGCGAAAAGCUUUUACCUAAAAGGACAUAAGAAAAUACAAGCUGUUCUGGAAUUUAUAAACAAUACCUUGAGAGAUUGCUUUAAUAAAUUCAGGAAUAAAAGAGGACUAAUAGGCAAAAAAUGCAAAAAAAACACAAUGAAAACUGAAGCUGUGUUUGAUUCACUGAUGUACAUAUAAUAUGUUUUAUAAAAAAGCAUGGUUUUAAAUACAUUUCCCAAUAAAUUUCCCUAGAAAACUCCAAAGUUUUAUUGAAGUAUUAUUAAACAACAUGUCAGGUAGGAUGACAUUUAUUAAUGAUUAGUGAAAACAAUCUUAAGCUAAAAAGUCAUCUUUACCAAUGUAUAUUAAAAAAAGAGAUAGCCAGUAAAGAUGUAUAAAAUUACUUCUUUCUUUAGAAAUAUGUUUCUAUGUUUUACAUGCUUACUGCAAAUGAAGAAAAAUAUUCUAAUGAAGUGAAAGUACAUGAUAGGUAAACUGAAUCCCUGAUGUAAAGCUCUCCUUUGAGUUCUUGACUAUGGGGCUGAUCUUUACAGGCUGAAAUUAUUCUUGCAGACAUUUGAAAUUUAGGAGGAUCCCAAUUUUCGUGCAGAAGUCAGCUCAGUUGUAACUAUAUUAAAUGGCACAUAUUGUAUAUACAUGCAUUUCUACAUGCUUAUUAAAAAAUAAUGUAGCAUAUACUUUGUUUCAAGUGAACAUUUACUUAAGAAUACGUAGUAAUGUGAGCAUGACACACUGAUUUAUGUGGGAGCAUGAAAUUAGUUUUAUGUUACAGUAUUUUAUGUCUGCCAAAUCAGAGAAAGUUAUAAAAGCUCAAGGGUUUUUCACCUGACAGGGGUAUUUUCCUGUUUAUUUUCUUAAAUAGUAACAUUAUAUUUUACUUAAAUGUUGUGUGAGAUUUUUUUUACUCUUUUUGUGAGUAGUUGAAACAUGAAAGCUGAAACAUGAAAGGUAGUUUCAUGUUACUUUAGAGUAUUUAUUACUUUUGAAGUAUUUUGGUUUUAAAAAGGAAAUUAUAAAAUUUAAUUUUAAAUGAAAAACAUUGAAAGAGAAAAGGAGAACUGUGUAUUCUCUGUUUGUAUUUUCUGCUUCUGUCGAGGUCAAGAUUGAAGGCACUUGAGGUAUUUCAUGUUCGGACUCAGGUGUUUAUUAUUUCUUAUCAGUGAAACAGCUUCAUGACUGAAUUCUACAGCAUUUUAUUAGUAAGGUAUAAAAUAGCUAACUAUCUCUUGUUACAAGGUCUUUUAAGACUAAACUAUCUAAUUUAAAAAUGGCACCUAGAUUAUUUUCCUUUUUAACCCAAUGAGUCAAAGCCUGCAAUGCGGACUUUUCUGUUCAAUUGCAAAACAUCUUCUAAACCCAUGAAGAAGAAGGUAGAAGAUGAAGAAGAACAACCUUCCUCCUUCUUAAAACUUCUAUCUUGCUUCAUAUUUAUUUCUGUAUUGUAUAACUCCAAACUCUAAGUUUUCUAUCCUGUGAUAUUACACACUUCUAACUAACUAACUACCUGUAAUCCCAGUGUUAUUAAUCAAUUUUGGAAGCUUUCUCCAUAGCCUCAGGUCAAAUGUAGUGCUCCCUUGUGAGUCUGUGUCUUUCAGCACAGAAAGUUUAAGAUUAUCAGCAUCCAGGAUUCCAACAAAGAACAGUAUACACACAGCAUUUGCAGUAAUAAUUUGUUCAGAACGUGUUGUGCUUGCCUGAGAAAGGAUUUGUCUAAUUACUGAAAAAUAACCUUCCAAAUCUGUGAUUUUAACCUUUGCAUAAUGAAAGGUAGCAGACCAUGUAAAGAUCUACUAUAGCAGUUUCCACAUUCAUUUUUCACAAUUAUAUUUUGCAUUUUGGUUGUUAGUGAGUGGUUCAGGAACAAAGGCUUCUUUCACAUUUCAGAGGUGCAUGUCCACAGCUGUAUGCACUUAUGCAUUUGGCAUAAAUUUUAGCACUUCUAGAACUUGCUAGAAAGCUACUGAAUUUAAAAAAAAAGGAAAAAAAAAAAAAAAA